rnacentral:lncRNA from 1 species
AAAUGACCCUAUAUGGGCACACCCUAAAGAACGUUUUGCAAAAUGCUCACAAGGCUUUCCUCAGUCCUUUAUGGACCCUUCCCAGACUUGAGGAUCAAUACCACGAGGAGAGGAUGUGCCUUUCCCACAGCGACCAUGCUGGUUUUUUUCCUCUGUGCAGUGUUGGUGCCCCCAUCCAGCUCAAGACGGAGAACAGCAGCCCGGUGAAGAAGUGAGGAAACCAAGCAAGUACUCCGCCUUCAUCUAUGUGUGGAAUUAAGUAUCAUGGAUAACGGGACUCUUUCAGGGACGUUAUUUAUUUCCUCCUUGUGUUUAUCAUUAUUCGAUCAUUUUCAAUUUUGAUUUUAAUCCAAAACCCUAGACCUAGUCCAAAAUCAAAGUGACAACUGGGUAUUGUUAGGGUUUAACAGCUAAGAGUUGAUCAAAUAUAUUUACUCAAGGAAAAAAAUUAGAGAGAUAACUCUUCAUGUGGUGAAACGUAAUCAGUUAACCUAGAAUUAUACGUUACUACCUACAGUCUCAUCAGCAUCAUUUCCUCACCAACAGAUCUGCAACGACUUAUGAAAAAUGGGUCAUUAAUAGUACUCCCUUGCACAAUACCAAAUUCUAAGUACCACCACACCUACAUAAAUGAGGCUUCAUUCUCUUUACUCCUUUAGCAAAUAUAAUAUUGUCAUAUACCCUCAAUGUGGAAACAGAACAUCAAACUAGUUUAGAACUAAAAAACGGGGUGUAUCUGUACGUAUGUGUGUUUGUGAGCACCAGGGCCCAUACUGUUCUUUUCUUCUUUAGAUGUCAUAGAGCUACCUGCAAAGAGCUUUGGGGACUUACUUUUUCAUUUUGUGGAAGUGUAAGUUCAAAAAGAAUAAGUGACUUCCCUUUAGUUUUAAAAAUUUAUUCUCAAGAAAUUCCCAGGAAUUUUCUGGUCCUGUUCAUUAAACAACCCUGAAUUUUACAACAUCAUCGUUUUGGUUGGUCAUAUGGUUGCGAGGAGGUGGUUAACUGGCUAUUCGUGACCUUUUAUUACAGACUCAUUGAAGAAAAUUAGGAAAAAAUAACUAUUUUCAGAUCAUAGUAGGUUCCAGAAAACCCAUAUUACAAUUAGAGGAAGCAGUUGUUGGCUGUAUUAGAAUUUGUUCCUCAUGGGCGCCUGGGUGGUUUAGCUCAGUAGGGAGCCUGCUUCCCUUCCUCACUCUCUGCCUGCCUCUCUGUCUACUUGUGAUCUCUCUCGGUCAAAUAAAUAAAUAAAAUCUUGAAAAAAAAAAAAAAGA